rnacentral:ribozyme from 1 species
UUUCAUGAUAUAUCCAUAUUUUUUUCUUUUGGUCCUUCAUUCCUUUCUCUUUGAUUUUGGGCGCCAAUACACUUUUGUACAAAAACAAGCGGCGCUGUAGAAAAGGAGAGGACUUGAUGGGCGACAUUA